UUAGGGUUAUACAACAGAGCAUUGUCGAAUGUCAAUCUGACAUCCGCGGCGAAAUCAAGGGGCGAAUCAUAGAGAUUCUUCGCGAUCUUCGAUUUUACGGUGCCAAGAUCCAUCGGCCUUUUAAUAAUCUGGUGGUAAUCGUGAAGCCCCAUGCCAACAACAUCAACAGGCGAAUUGAACACCCAACUGUGCUUGUGCUUCAUCAGCUUCGUCAACGUUUGUCCGCACAGCUUCAUCAAGCUCGCGUUCUCCG
rnacentral:lncRNA from 1 species